AAACCGGAGCUAAUACCGGAUACGUUCUUUUCUCGCAUGAGAGAAGAUGGAAAGACGGUUUACGCUGUCACUUAUAGAUGGGCCCGCGGCGCAUUAGCUAGUUGGUGAGGUAAUGGCUCACCAAGGCGACGAUGCGUAGCCGACCUGAGAGGGUGAUCGGCCACACUGGGACUGAGACACGGCCCAGACUCCUACGGGAGGCAGCAGUAGGGAAUCUUCCGCAAUGGACGAAAGUCUGACGGAGCAACGCCGCGUGAACGAAGAAGGCCUUCGGGUCGUAAAGUUCUGUUGUUAGGGAAGAACAAGUACCAGAGUAACUGCUGGUACCUUGACGGUACCUAACCAGAAAGCCACGGCUAACUACGUGCCAGCAGCCGCGGUAAUACGUAGGUGGCAAGCGUUGUCCGGAAUUAUUGGGCGUAAAGCGCGCGCAGGUGGUUCCUUAAGUC
rnacentral:rRNA from 2 species